GUUAACUUUGUAGUUUUAACUGCUUUAUAGGCUGUGCUUUUGCUGGAGGUUUAGGGGUGCUCUUGAUCGAGUGUCUCUGGAUGCCAGCAGGUUUACUUUGAAAAAAUUAGAGUGCUCAAAGCAGGCUAAAAUGCCUGAAUAUUCGUGCAUGGAAUAAUAGAAUAGGAUGUCGAUCCUAUUUUGUUGGUUUUCGGGACUCGACAUAUUGAUAAAUAGGGACAGUCGGGGGCAUUUGUAUUCAAACGACAGAGGUGAAAUUCUUGUGACCGUUUGAAGACA
rnacentral:rRNA from 1 species